GGUCCUGUGGUCUAAUGGAACGACGCCGAGCGGUCCUUGUCAAAAGAACAAGCCGGAGAUCGCGGGUUCGAGUCUCGCCAGGACAG